GAUACCAUAAAAAACAAAGUGUUUGGAACGGAUAUCAACAAUAAUUCCAGUAAAAUCACAUUUUUCGAUAAUAUAUAGGCUUCUAUUGUUACCGGGAGCUGGAUGCAGCUUGGGAUCCAUGACAGCGACAACACUGAGCUGCGACAAACUGAGACCACUUAGCGCUGCUGUGUAUUGGCCCUGCAUGUCGCCUAUCACUGCGUUGUGGUCGUCUCGCAGCCACAGCAGGCGGUGAUCCAGGUAGCAAAGUGGACCUGCAACAACACAGUUCAGUUAUUACACCUAUAUGGGUCUUCUAAGAAUGUCUGAAAGUUUGGAGCCACAUUACCCUGCAUAUUUGGAUGUUGUAGGCUGGACACUUUGAGUGGCUGCACCUCUUCGCCUAUUUUCAGGCAAUCGGCUGUUGGAGCAUGG